UUAGGAGGCUGGGUAAUCGCACUGAAAAAUAUUUAUAUUUUUUAGUGAGGAAAGUCCAGACAGCAAGAAGCAGGGUGUCCUGAUUAAAUUCAGGAAGUCGCCUUUGGCGACAUAGUAAGAGCAACAGUGACGAACCGGGUGGCGCCGGGUGAAACGACCAAGCUUCCGGGUUUUUGCGAAGCUUAGGGUUUACCCUGAGCGAAGCGAAGGGCAAUCCUCCCCGCUGCAAUUUCCGACCGACCCGUCCGCCCCGUUUGACGGGGUAAAAGGCGCUUCUCCGAGGGUCAAAGUUUGAAAGCACAGCCGAGCUCAGCUCGGCGAUAGAUUGAUGAUUUCCUAAAACAGAAUCUGGCUUACAAGCUUCCUAGAGAC
rnacentral:RNase_P_RNA from 1 species